rnacentral:tRNA from 1 species
GGUUCGCUAGCUCAGUUGGUAGAGCAACAGACUCUUAAUCUGUGGGUCCGGGGUUCGAGCCCCCGGCGAAUCACCA